UGUGACUCCAGAGAAGAGCA
rnacentral:tRNA from 1 species